AAUAACAAACAAAAGAAAAGAGGUAGCACCAAGCUUACCCCGGCUCACAACUAUCACAGUGAUGGCCCUCAGCUCAUGACUAUCAUAGUCCGGCACUUUAAUUAACUUCUACAACUUCUAUAUACUUUUUUCUGAUUCUCCAGAUUCUAACCAUAAUUCUGUAAUUAAGCGCCUUUAAAAACUAAAUCACUCAUCCAUCCUCCU
rnacentral:lncRNA from 1 species